UAUCAAGACAAGGGAAAUGUUAAUAUUAAAAUGUUGGAAUUAAAAAGAAGGAAGAGAAAAUUGUAUGUACAAUAUGAUACAGACUUUAUAACUUUAUCAGCGCAUGAAUGCAUCUAUAAUUGUGCAUAAUGCAGAAGAAAGAAAACACAACCCCAAAAUGUGUACCUGGAUUUUAUGCAGGCAAUGAUUUUUAUUUAUUUUCAAGGCUAUGGAUUCAUUACAUGAGCAUGUAUUACUUUUGAUAACCAGGAAAAAAAAAAUUUAAAAUAAAACGUAUGAGAACUUAAAUAGAAUACUCUUUUAAAAAACAAAAUAAGUAUAAGGGUAAAACUUGGUACUUUACUACAGUCCUAGAUCUUUGAGUUUCUUUGUUAAAAUAUCUUCCUUUUCAAGCCUGUACAGGUCCAUGAAGAAAAUGAAACUUCCAACCAGCAUAAUAGAGAACUUAGGUGGACACUAAGAUUCGUAUUAACACCUGCUGACAGGAUGUGUCAUGACUAACUUCCAAGAAGGGGAAAAUGCACUCAAGGGACCCUCUCUGAAGAGCUGGUUGGGAGUAGGGGCAUGAUGGCUGAAGCUCUCUUUUCUGCUUUGUCCUGGUUUCUCUCAGCUGUAUUUCCGGAACUGAAGCAAGAAUCCGUGUUGAGAGGUGGCAAAGAGCAAACCCAAGGUGGACCGGGGACAGAGGCAGCCACCGCAUCUGCACUGGCACAGGACUUCAACUCUGAAUGA
rnacentral:lncRNA from 1 species